rnacentral:rRNA from 1 species
UGGGGAAUUUUGGACAAUGGGCGAAAGCCUGAUCCAGCAAUGCCGCGUGUGUGAAGAAGGCCUUCGGGUUGUAAAGCACUUUUGUCCGGAAAGAAAUCCUUGGCUCUAAUACAGUCGGGGGAUGACGGUACCGGAAGAAUAAGCACCGGCUAACUACGUGCCAGCAGCCGCGGUAAUACGUAGGGUGCAAGCGUUAAUCGGAAUUACUGGGCGUAAAGCGUGCGCAGGCGGUUUGCUAAGACCGAUGUGAAAUCCCCGGGCUCAACCUGGGAACUGCAUUGGUGACUGGCAGGCUAGAGUAUGGCAGAGGGGGGUAGAAUUCCACGUGUAGCAGUGAAAUGCGUAGAGAUGUGGAGGAAUACCGAUGGCGAAGGCAGCCCCCUAGGCCAAUACUGACGCUCAUGCACGAAAGCGUGGGGAGCAAACAGGACUAGAUACCCUGGUAGUCCACGCCCUAAACGAUGUCAACUAGUUGUUGGGGAUUCAUUUCCUUAGUAACGUAGCUAACGCGUGAAGUUGACCGCCUGGGGAGUACGGUCGCAAGAUUAAAACUUAAAGGAAUUGACGGGGU